AUAGGAGACUCCAUCCUGAGAGGUACGGAAGGACCCAUCUGUCACCAGGACCCCUCGGCACGAGAGUGACCGGACGAGGAAGACGGCAGGAGAACUGCAUCAGAGAGACCAACUGGCGGCUUCAGCAGUGGUGUCUCGAGGCAGGCUUCGGCUUCCUGGACAAUGACCCGCACAUCACGACGAGGGACAUGCUCAGCUGGGAUGGGCUUCACCUGUCCCCCAAAG